GCUGAGUCCAGCCUGGCAUCUCGCUGGCAUCGGCGGCUCGCUGGGUCCAGCCUGGCGCUGACACGUUUCUGUGCUCAUUUCAUUUUACAAAUCAACUCCCCAAGAUACCUAGGAGUGGAGUGGCUGCUUCCUGAGGAAGUUCACGCUUCAUGUUUCCAGAACUGACACUUCUCCAGAGUGGCUGCCUCCUCCCGUCCUGGUGGGCGUAUGAGGCUUCUCCUCCUCCAUUUUCUGGAAGAGCUUGGAUAGGGCAGUGUUAUUUCUCUACCGAGUAUUGCAUGGAACUCGCCAGUGAACACAUCUUGGCCUCAAGUUUUCUUUGUGGAAAAUUUUAAAUUACAAAUUCAAUUUCUUUUUUCUUUUUUUGAGAUGGAGCCUCACUCUGUCACCGAGGCUAGAGUGCAAUGGUGCGAUCUCCGCUCACUGCAACCUCUGCUUCCCGGGUCCAAGUGAUUCUCCUGCCACAGCCUCCCGAGUACCUGGGAUUACAGGUGUGCACCAUCAUGGGGGCUAGUUUUUGUAUUUUUGGUAGAGACGGGAUUUCACCAUGUUGGCCAGGCUGGUCUCAAACUCCUGUCCUCAGGUGAUCCACCUGCCUGGGCCUCCUAAAAUGCUGGGAUGACAGGCGUGAGCCACUGCGCCCGGCCCAAAUUCAGUUUCUUCAAUUAUUAUGGGACUCUUGGGCUUUCUUUCUUCGUCGGCUGUAGGGAGAGGAUUAGGGUUUGGGCUAGCGUUCGUUUUAGUAAUCUGUGCCUUUCACGGAGUGUUUCUCAUUUAAUGUAGGGUGCUGAGUUGAUUAGAAUAAAGUUGUUCAUAAUAUUACCUUAUUAUUCCUGUAGCAUCUCUGUGGAUUUGUGGUGAUAUCUUUUCUUCUUGAUAUUGGCUAUUUGUAUUUUCUCACCUUUUUGCUAGAUCAUUGCAGCUUGGGGUUCACUGACGUUGUUCUGUAAUGGAUCCCGGUUUCCUGUAAACCCACGUAUGUCCCGUGUCUGUAAUGCGUCCCGGUUUCCUGUAACCCGUGUGUGUCCCGUGUCUGUAAUGCGUCCCGGUUUCCUGUAACCCGUGUGUGUCCCGUGUCUGUAAUGGGUCCUGGUUUCCUGUAAACCCGUGUGUGUCCCGUGUCUGUAAUGGGUCCCGGUUUCCUGUAACCCGUGUAUGUCCCGUGUCUGUAAUGGGUCCCGGUUUCCUGUAACCCGUG
rnacentral:lncRNA from 1 species